GGGUUUUAUAAAUAUAAACGUUUUUUAUAGUUAUUUUAUAUAGGGAUGUUAUGCAUAUGGAAAAGUAUUUAAAUUUUUACACCAAACAAACUGUUUUAAAUUUGAAAUUUGUUCUACAUUUGAAAAUGCCUGUACCAAGUCAGGAGUAUGACAGUUGUUGUCCAUUUGUUUGAUGUGUAUUGUCAUUUGAUUUUGCCAUGUGAUUAGGGACUUUCCCAUUGAAUUUUCCUCAGAGUUCUGUAUUUUUGUGAUUUUAUUUAAAAAAAAAAUGUUUUCAUUGGUUUGUAUUUAAAAAUGUCUAAAUUAAAAAAAAAAUUCUCAC
rnacentral:lncRNA from 1 species